rnacentral:precursor_RNA from 8 species
AGAUGUUUGAUGAUUAUAACCUCGUGCAUUUCGGGAAUUUCGGCAUCAUUCUGUUGGCUUAACUAGUAUUAUGCUGAUAUUCACGAGAUGAUUUGAGGACUUACACCUGCAGCAAUCG